CCUAGAAGUCUGUCUUUUGCUGUCACCAAUAAUGCUUCUACUGAUAUCCAAGAACGAGCUAAGUAGAGGAACGUUCUAGUCUUAUCAACCUACCACAGAGUAUCAAACAGUCUAAUAAUUUCAUGAUAGUGUUUAAUCACACAGGUAUUGAUGCCAUUUAUUGACUUCAGUGGAGUUGCAUCCAUUUAUGCCAGCAGUUAAUUUGGUGUUUGGAUACAGCAGUAACCAUUUAUCUUUUUAAGCUUAGUACUACUUUGUUUGGUCUGUCAUGCUGGGCUCCAUCCUUACAAGCAAUGGCGACAACACUGUUUAACCAUUUACUACUGUUGCUCAAUAUAGGUGCUCAUUAAAUCUUUGGAAAGUUGAAUCUCUUUUUUUAUAUUCCCCUUCCCUUGGGAGUAUCUCUCAAAGAACAGUCAUUUGGUUUUCUAAAGACACAUGGAGGACUUCUGUGCAGGAAGGUCUGCUUCUCUGAAAUAUAGUACAGAGUCCUGUUCCCUAACUUUUGCUUCACUCAUGCUUCCCUAUUGCACAAUCACAGUCUUCUGGGGAGGUUUAAAGUAGGAGAGGAUAUGGCUCUCCUGGUACUCAGGAGUGGCAGGAGGGAAGGGAAGGGAGAGAGAAGGGGAAGGGACUGCUAGGAGAAAUCAAUCCAAUACCAGAUGGAAGGAUGUUAAAGUACCUCCACCUGAGGCAGCAAUCUUCACACCAUGAGUACAGGCUUUAUUUCCCUCAGGAAACUUAACAAUGAAAUCCAGAGUAAAUGAUUUAUACUAAUGGAAUCAAUGCUAACAGUCUGAGGAGCCAAUAAAACACACAAUAGUAGCCAGUAAAAACACAAAAGGUGGGCAGCCCACCCUGAGUGGCUUUAUUUACACUAAAAAGGGGGUAAAAAAGCUUGCAUUUAAAAUAUUGGGUAAAUCGCUCUCUCUCUCACAAAGGCUAAUACAUAUACAAAAAUUCUACAUUUCAACUUUUUCUCACAACCCACUAAAUGUCGUCCGUCGUGUCUCCCCCCCCCCCC